AAAUUGAAGAGUUUGAUCAUGGCUCAGAUUGAACGCUGGCGGCAGGCCUAACACAUGCAAGUCGAACGGUAACAGGAAGCAGCUUGCUGCUUCGCUGACGAGUGGCGGACGGGUGAGUAAUGUCUGGGAAACUGCCUGAUGGAGGGGGAUAACUACUGGAAACGGUGGCUAAUACCGCAUAACGUCGCAAGACCAAAGAGGGGGACCUUCGGGCCUCUUGCCAUCAGAUGUGCCCAGAUGGGAUUAGCUUGUUGGUGAGGUAACGGCUCACCAAGGCGACGAUCCCUAGCUGGUCUGAGAGGAUGACCAGCCACACUGGAACUGAGACACGGUCCAGACUCCUACGGGAGGCAGCAGUGGGGAAUAUUGCACAAUGGGCGCAAGCCUGAUGCAGCCAUGCCGCGUGUAUGAAGAAGGCCUUCGGGUUGUAAAGUACUUUCAGCGGGGAGGAAGGUGUUGUGGUUAAUAACCGCAGCAAUUGACGUUACCCGCAGAAGAAGCACCGGCUAACUCCGUGCCAGCAGCCGCGGUAAUACGGAGGGUGCAAGCGUUAAUCGGAAUUACUGGGCGUAAAGCGCACGCAGGCGGUCUGUCAAGUCGGAUGUGAAAUCCCCGGGCUCAACCUGGGAACUGCAUUCGAAACUGGCAGGCUUGAGUCUUGUAGAGGGGGGUAGAAUUCCAGGUGUAGCGGUGAAAUGCGUAGAGAUCUGGAGGAAUACCGGUGGCGAAGGCGGCCCCCUGGACAAAGACUGACGCUCAGGUGCGAAAGCGUGGGGAGCAAACAGGAUUAGAUACCCUGGUAGUCCACGCCGUAAACGAUGUCUACUUGGAGGUUGUGCCCUUGAGGCGUGGCUUCCGGAGCUAACGCGUUAAGUAGACCGCCUGGGGAGUACGGCCGCAAGGUUAAAACUCAAAUGAAUUGACGGGGGCCCGCACAAGCGGUGGAGCAUGUGGUUUAAUUCGAUGCAACGCGAAGAACCUUACCUGGUCUUGACAUCCACAGAACUUUCCAGAGAUGGAUUUGUGCCUUCGGGAACUGUGAGACAGGUGCUGCAUGGCUGUCGUCAGCUCGUGUUGUGAAAUGUUGGGUUAAGUCCCGCAACGAGCGCAACCCUUAUCCUUUGUUGCCAGCGGUUAGGCCGGGAACUCAAAGGAGACUGCCAGUGAUAAACUGGAGGAAGGUGGGGAUGACGUCAAGUCAUCAUGGCCCUUACGACCAGGGCUACACACGUGCUACAAUGGCGCAUACAAAGAGAAGCGACCUCGCGAGAGCAAGCGGACCUCAUAAAGUGCGUCGUAGUCCGGAUUGGAGUCUGCAACUCGACUCCAUGAAGUCGGAAUCGCUAGUAAUCGUGGAUCAGAAUGCCACGGUGAAUACGUUCCCGGGCCUUGUACACACCGCCCGUCACACCAUGGGAGUGGGUUGCAAAAGAAGUAGGUAGCUUAACCUUCGGGAGGGCGCUUACCACUUUGUGAUUCAUGACUGGGGUGAAGUCGUAACAAGGUAACCGUAGGGGAACCUGCGGUUGGAUCACCUCCUUA
rnacentral:rRNA from 1 species